rnacentral:misc_RNA from 1 species
UCUUGGAUAAAGCACUUAAUUACAAAGGUUUUCUAAUGCCUAUAGUUUAAUUUUUAGCUAGAUUAUUCAUAGUUCCAUUACCAGUGAUCGAUCAACAAGCUUGAUCAAUUCGACCCGAUGGUUUGGAGACCGAAUCCCCCCGCUUGAACUCAUGGGAAUGCUGGAGGCCUUGCAAUUAAAGAUAUUGUCCCAGCCUACUCCAUGACUCGGGAACAUUGCACGCUAGAUUCUUUUGAAAAUUGAUUUCUAGUUAUAGAAUAAAUAACAAUGGGCAUGUAAAUGAAGCCAAUAUUGUUUUGCAGAUUCUUUAUUUGGUUGGCAAGAAUAUCACGGCUCAAAAAAAAUCGACAGAUUUUUCAAUGUCUCGGGCAGAUUUGCUUCCCUGCCUCUCGGAAAUGUUAGUCAAGAGUUAUUUAGCACCUGUGUCUGAAUUAAAACACCAUUUAUUGCAGGACUGCAAUUAAGAAACCGGCUAGCUUCAUAAUAACAGAUUCAUAAUUCGUAUAUGAUGUCAAGU